ensembl:lncRNA
AAUUAAUAAAGGACGUUUUUAGAGUUGGUUAUUUUUUUCCACGUUAAUCUGAACAACAUCAUUUUGUUUUUCCUUAGUUUUAAUACGUGUCACAUUUAACUGUUUCACUCUAAAUCAUUUCCCAGUGUCAAUGCAUCCCCUAACCCAUCCUAAAGCUAAGCCAGACAUGGUCAAUAACGCUAAGGGGCAAAUUAAAAUGCAAAAAUGAUGAGAGGAUCAGCCGCUCUCCUUAAUGAGCAAUGGCAGGGAAUAACUGACAGCAAAGAGGAGCCCAAUCUCCAGGAUAAAAGUGUUUUACAUGCAAACAACUAAUCACAGACCAUCAAAGCCUAGACAAAAAUGCAUGCAAAAAAGGAAAUUCCCUUCACGAAUACAUUUUCAAAAUCCAAGAAAAUAAUGCCGUAAGCUCUUUAUGACACAUUUCUUUUAACCCGCUUUUCUUAUGUGCUAAAAGGCAUAAUAAAUGAGUCAUUUCCCUUUGAUAACAUCUUCAAAAUGAAUUCAACACAAGAUUCUUCUUUGCUUAAUAAACACCCAUCUACUUGUUCUGUAAUUAUGAAAUUCAUUUUUUUGAUGCCACAGUUAAUGUUCAUAUUCCUACUUCGUGUGGUGUGGCUUGGGACCAAGCUUAGUCAUCAGGCUAAGCCAUUGCAUGCAGCAGUUGUGUGGGACAUGCUGUGACAUGUGAGGCGUGACAGGCUGACCAGGCAGGCCGGGGGGGGGCUUCUCACUUGCGACACGUCUCCUCUUCCUCUACAUCUUUGCUGAUGAUCCCAUGGCUUCUUCCCCAUACUAUAUCACACUUAUAAUACCUCCUUAAUGUCCAUCUACCUCAUCAUCAGCUGCUGAGGAUGAACAUUUCUGCAACAUACAACCUCAGCCUCAGAUAACAUAUCUAGCAAUCCUGCUAUAUUUACAGUACCCCAAUUUUAAAUACAAUUAAUCUACCUUUGCCUAAAAUCGAUUGUUUCAAAAUGUAUUAAGAUUUUCAAAAUGUGGAAUCUACUUCUGUUCUUAUUGUAAAUAGAAAGUGUGUGUGAGUGCAGACAGCUUGACGGCAAUAAACAGGGAGGGGGGCUUAGUAAAUGGUCAUUCCACUUUUCCAUAAUCCAAAAUCUUUAUCUUUCUCCCCAGCCAACGCUCUACCCCUAUUCACCCCCCCACACACACACACAGUCAUUCAUUUAAACAGUCAUAAUAACCAUGAGCUCUUCAGCUUGGGGCUUUCACUCCUGAUAGAUCAGUGGCCUUGUGGCGCCCCUGUUUGCCCCGAUAGUGGGAGGUUUGGAGUGGAGUUUGAUCUUUAGCUGACUCGUCUCUGCGUGAUACCAACUGCAGUCCUGCACAAAAAGAUGUGCUAAGCCUCCAUUUACUAUACAUUCAGCGCACAAGCUAGUAACCUGGCCUUCUGUUUGAACAUGGCCUUACAACUACAGACAGAUGACAUUUUCUCUGCUAUUUGGGGCUAUUUUGCUUCAACGCGUCUUUUAGACUAGUGGAAAGAAAACAUCCAAAAUAUACAUUUAGAUGUCUAUUUAUUCUAAUCAACAAAAUAUAGCAAUAUAUGAUGCCUCAUUUUCAUUUACACAACAUUUCAGAAAACUUGUAAUACAAAUGAAUAAUUGUUUUAGUGUUUGUCUCAAAUAAUGAGGUAUGUAUGCAAAAUAGCACACAUUUGAUUAGUUAUUGCGUUGUUUUCAUAUUUAAACAUGCAUUUUCAUUAAACACACACCAAACUAACCUUCUUCUUGAUCGGGUCAGUUUUUUACCCCAUUUACUUUGUUGAACUGCUGCAGGUCUCCAUUUGCAAAUUAACAACUUCCUGUGAGAGUUAUAUAUAUAU